GCUUACGGCCAUACCACUCUGAGCACGCCCGAUCUCGUCUGAUCUCGGAAGCUAAGCAGGGUCGGGCCUGGUUAGUACUUGG
rnacentral:rRNA from 1 species